GACAGAGGUGCCAAGCGUUAGGCGGAAUCACUGGGCUUAAAGCGUGUGUAGGCGGGCGAUCAAGCACCUUGUGAAAUCCCACGGCUCAACCGUGGAACUGCUGGGUAUACUGGUUGUCUUGAGCCAGCUAGGGGCGAGCGGAACAGACGGUGGAGCGGUGAAAUGCGUAGAUAUCGUCUGGAACGCCGAAGGUGAAAACAGCUCGCUGGGGCUGCGCUGACGCUGAGACACGAAAGCCAGGGAGCGAACGGG
rnacentral:rRNA from 1 species